UGGAAAAAAAAAUUCAGCAACCAAGACGACCAAAAAGACAGAGAGGACACACUGGGUAGAGAAGUCUGAAUCCCAAACCUCUUGGUCUCCGAUCAUCAAGACACAGCGGACCGCAUCCCGACUCGCGUAGGCCAACUCCCAACCCUACGGGAGCUUGCUCCGAGCUGGCCCCAGACACGUGAGUGGAGGAAGAGACAGACACACGAAGACACGGGGGGCAGAGGCAUCCCCCAAAGUGGGGAUAAUUCCUUGGCUCAGUCUGUAAUGAGGGAAGAAAAAGACCUCACCCACUAACCCGACAGAGGAGAGACGUCAAAGCAAUAUUCACGGAGCUGCCCCCUUCUCAAACUGCUGCACAGUGUUUUGGUUGAAUGCCCAAGAGAGACCUCUCCAGAGAAGCAGGUAACUCCCCAGGAGGCCAGGGAAAGUUUGUGUAGGCCAACAACAGAGGACCAGCAUUGGCGGGAGUGGGGGGGA